rnacentral:rRNA from 1 species
GAUCUGGCUCAGGACGAACGCUGGCGGCGUGCCUAACACAUGCAAGUCGAGCGGAGACAGUGAGUAGCUUGCUACGAGCUGUUUUAGCGGCGGACGGGUGAGUAACGCGUGAGCAACCUUUCCCAGACAGGGGAAUAACACACCGAAAGGUGUACUAAUACCGCAUAAGACCACGGGAUCACAUGGUUCUGGGGUAAAAGAAUUAUCGGUUUGGGGUGGGCUCGCGUCCGAUUAGGUAGUUGGUGAGGUAACGG